rnacentral:rRNA from 1 species
UGACGGGGGUCCGCACAACCGGUGGAGCAUGUGGUUUAAUUAGAUGAUACGCGAGGGACCUUACCUGGGCUCGAAUGGUUAGUGCAACUGUGAGAAAUCACGGGUUCCUUCGGGACGCUAAUCAAGGUGCUGCAUGGUUGUCGUCAGCUCGUGCCAUGAGGUGUUGGGUUAAGUCCCGCAACGAGCGCAACCCCUGGGUUUAGUUACCAGCACGUAAUGGUGGGGACUCUAGACCGACUGCCGGCGUAAGCCGCGAGGAAGGUGGGGAUGACGUCAAAUCAUCAUGGCCUUUAUGUCCAGGGCUACACACGUGCUACAAUGGUCAGUACAGAGGGUAGCGAAGCCGCGAGGUGGAGCCAAUCUUUAAAAGCUGAUCGUAGUUCGGAUUGGAGUCUGCAACUCGACUCCAUGAAGUUGGAAUCGCUAGUAAUCGCGCAUCAGCCAUGGCGCGGUGAUACGUUCCCGGACAUUGUACACACCGCCCAUCAAGCCAUGGGAGCUGAGGGUAC